CCUACGGGUGGCUGCAGUGAGGAAUCUUCCACAAUGGACGAAAGUCUGAUGGAGCGACACCGCGUGAAGGAUGAAUGUCUAACGAUUGUAAACUUCUUUUCUGAGGGAGCAUAAUGAGAGUACCUCAGGAAUAAGGGACGGCUAAUUACGUGCCAGCAGCCGCGGUAAUACGUAAGUCCCAAGCGUUACCCGGAAUCACUGGGUGUAAAGGGUUCGUAGGCGGCAUAGAAAGUUGGAUAUGAAAGACCGAGGCUCAACCUCGUGUUUGUGUUCAAAACUACUAAGCUAGAAUUAGGGAGAGGUUAGCGGAAUUCUGAGUGUAGGGGUGCAAUCCGUAGAUACUCAGAGGAACACCAAAAGCGAAGGCAGCUAACUGGAACUAUAUUGACGCUGAGGAACGAAAGCGUGGGGAGCGAAAAGGAUUAGAUACCCGUGUAGUC
rnacentral:rRNA from 1 species